AUUGAACGCUGGCGGCAGGCCUAACACAUGCAAGUCGAGCGGAGCGGCGGACGGGUGAGUAAUGCCUAGGAGUCUGCCUGGUCUUGGGGGAUAACGUCCGGAAACGGGCCCUAAUACCGCAUACUAUCAGAUGAGCCUAGGGCGGAUUAGCUAGUUGGGGGGGUAAAGGCCUACCAAGGCGACGAUCCGUAACUGGUCUGAGAGGAUGAUCAGUCACACUGGAACUGAGACACGGUCCAGACUCCUACGGGAGGCAGCAGUGGGGAAUAUUGGACAAUGGGCGAAAGCCUGAUCCAGCCAUGCCGCGUGUGUGAAGAAGGUCUUCGGAUUGUAAAGCACUUUCAGUUGGGAGGCGUUACCAACAGAAUAAGCACCGGCUAACUUCGUGCCAGCCGCCGCGGUAAUUC
rnacentral:rRNA from 1 species